rnacentral:rRNA from 1 species
CCCUUAGAUGUUCUGGGCCGCACGCGUGCUACACUGAGUGGAUCAGCGGGUCAGGUUGCGCGAAAGCGUUUCCUAAUCUUUAAAUCCGCUCGUGAUGGGGAUUGACGGUUGCAAUUUUCUGUCAUGAACGAGGAAUACCUUGUAAGCGCGGGUCAUCAUCCCGCGCUGAAUACGUCCCUGCCCUUUGUACACACCGCCCGUCGCUCCUACCGAUUGGGUGUGCUGGUGAAAUGUUCGGAUCGGCCGUUUGUCGCGGUUUCCGCGUCAUGUGGCUGAGAAGUUCAGUAAACCCUCCCACCUAGAGGAAGGAGAAGUCGUAACA